rnacentral:rRNA from 1 species
AUGGCUGGGCGGAGGAGUCCCAGGAGCCGGACCCCUUCAGGCGCAUUUUCCUUCGGCUUCGUUCCACCGCUCGGCACCUGCAGCGCUAGAUCCAUUGGGAGCAUUUCCCUCCAACUCCAUGUCGCCCCUGAGCUUAUUGCGCGCUUCGACGCUGCCCAAGACUCCCGGCCUCUCUCCGCUGCAGAAUUGUGGUUUCGUCGCCUCAAGUGUGCCUAUCUCGGCCUUGCGUCCCUCGAUCGCUCGAUUCUACGUCAGCGCGUCCGCCUCUCGUGGCUCCGCAGCGGCGAGGCUUCCUCUGCCUUUUUGCGCAUCCAUGCCGUGCAGUGCAAGCAAAAGAACAGGAUCCUCUCACUCCGUUGUGGCGAUGAGGUCAUCUCCGGGGCCUGCGACCUCUCUCGGGCCGUGUACGAGCAUUUUUCGGCCAUCUUGGGGACCGCCGACGCGCGCGUCUUCUUCCUCCGUCUCAACUCAAUCGAUCCCAGGCAUUUCGACCUCUCGGCAUUAGACUGCCCCUCCGAGGACGAGGUCUGGUGGGCCAUUAAACUGCUGCCUACCGGCAAGGCGCCGGGCCCAGAUGGCUUCUCGGCGGAGUUCCUCCGGCACUGCUGGGACACGGUCAAGGGCGACUUCAUGGAGGCGUUUGAUAAGCUCUAUCAUAUGAAUGGUCGCGGUUUCCAUUGCCUGAAUGAAGCCUUCAUCACCCUCCUCGCGAAGCGCCCCGACGCCUCUUCUCUGUCCGAAUACCGGCCGAUUAGCCUGAUUCAUCUAGUUGCCAAGCUCGUUGCCAAAGUUCUCGCCCUGAGGCUCGCCCCUCGGCUUGGGGAGCUUGUUUCGGUCAACCAGAGUGCUUUCAUCGCCGGGCGCUGCAUCUACGACAAUUUUAUGCUGGUUCAGCACACAGCGCGCCACCUUCACCAGGCCGGUGCCCACCGGGUCCUUGAUACGUCUCCGUCGUAUCUAUAA